UGCGGAGCGAUUGGGAGGAUUGCGUGAGUGUUUGAGCGAGUGGCGGCUUGUUUGAUCCUCAAGCAUGAUUGUCUCAAAAAAUCUGAUCUGUCUGGAGGUUCGAUCCACUCAGUCCAGCAGAGGGAGACAAACAUCACUCAGACAGAAGCUCAUAUAGUGACAGAAAACAUGAGCUCAACUAACCUGCCGUCACUGAGGGUCGAUCCUGCUCAUGUACGAACACUGACCCAAACCAACAGCACUAACACAAGAGUCAAACUCUGCUUCUGUGUCAAUGUCCAUUCAACCAGCAUCGCAGAUGUAACUCUUAUGUUCAUAUUGGACCAGACGUGGAGUGACAGCCACAAAACCCAAUGUCUGUCUAAAUAAAACAGCACGAGUCUGACCAUUCAGAUGAGACCGAGAGAAAACAAGAUGAAGAGAAUGAAUUUAAGUCCUCAACUCAUGAACAUUAAAAACAUCUUAAUAAACAUCCUAAAAUCUUAAGGUAAGUAAAGGGCUCUAGUUAAUGUAAGACAUUGUCGUUAGCUGAAUAUUCAAACUAACCUGACUCAACAGCUUUUCUUAAAUCUCUUUAAAGAGCUGAAUGUGUGUAAAGAUCACGUUAAAGCGCAGCGUCUCAGCAUGAGCUCCUGUAUAUGGUGUGUGUGUCGCUGCUGCAGUGGAAACUCACUCAAUAAAUGCUCUAUAAAUGUGUUUGCGGUGAGCAGCAUCUCUGACAGACACACCCUUGAGCUCCUCCAUGAUCUUCUACUCCAUCUCACAGCAGCUGGACUCCUCGUUCACCCAGAAGUGUGCUGUUGCUUUAUUUAGAUUUCAUUUCUAAACCCUCUUCAGACUAACAGACCCAACAGAGCAGGACGAGACCGCAGUUAAAGAGCCUGAGAAAUACAAACUAGAGCUUUGUGGCUUUUAGUCCAUGUCUGUUAGUUUUGAAGACAUUUAUAUGCUGGUGU